UUUAUUUUGGACAUGAUUUCGACAAUCUAACAGCCCUAAGUUCAUGACAUAAACAUGUGAUGUUAUCUUUACUAUAAAUUUUUAAAGCUGCGUUUAAUUUGAUACACCAUAUACUUUUAUGCGACAAAGUCAAAAUGAAAAGCGUUCUUAUCCUUUUUGCCUUUGGAUCGAUGACUUCUCUGCUUGUUACUGCCAGCUACAUGUGUAUUUGUAACAGGGAUACACUUGUGAAUCAACAGGUGUUUGAUUUGGUCCACUCACCCAUUGGAUAUUUAUACCCAAAUGAUUGCGCACCCUUUUUAAACAAUUCCAGAACCGAUCAUGGAUGGUUGUCCAUUCAAUUUCAAGGAGAGAGGGGGUAUAUAGAAAAGCAAGAAAGCGCAGUUUUAGACGAAUGCACUGGACCAUUCCCUACGGAAGACGAAGAGUCUACCGAAAUACCGAUGACAUACACCAUGUUUGUGUCAAGUAGUUACAAACCUCCUCCGCCAACGCCGGUACCAAGUCACAACACAACUCUUUCACCUGCGUUAUUAGGCAACGUGAAUCUAUGUCCCCCAUACGUAAUACAAGGGGCAAAUUCCAAUGGAUACUUACUGACUCAACAUCACCAUGUAUCACGAAGUAUGUCAGGACAAAGUGUCUUGGAACCAUGCAGAUAUGCUGUGUAAAGAACGAGGAGGGGAUCUGGUCACCAUACACAAUGACAAAGAAAAUAACUAUCUGAAUCAAGUACUCCAACAAGCUUAUAACCACAGAGUUUGGAUUGGGCUUCACGAUAAAAUAAAUGAGGAACAUUUUGAAUGGACAACAGGGGAGAAAGUGACUUAUACUCAUUGGAGACAACACCACAGAAAAAGUGCAAACCACACCCAUGAGGACUGUGUGUUAAUGUUUCAGAACGGCGUUUGGGAUGAUGUUCAGUGUGGUGGUAAACAUGUCAUGGAAGAGACAAUUAAUACACAUGCAUAUGUCUGUGAAUACAAAACACAUGGUUCUGGAUCUUCAAUAGUUGGCUGAAAAAAGCAGUCAUGAACGGAAUACAAGAACAUAUAAAAAACUGUGUUAAAAUAUAUUUCAUCGUUAAACACCG